rnacentral:rRNA from 1 species
CGGCAUCUACUGGGAAGGAUUAACAGCGGUGUUUUGUAUUCAACGUCUCCUAAUCGCUGGUCGGCAUCGUUUAUGGUUAAGACUACGACGGUAUCUGAUCGUCUUCGAUCCCCUAACUUUCGUUCUUGAUUAAUGAAAACAUCCUUGGCAAACGCUUUCGCAGAAGUUAAUCUUUCAUAAAUCCAAGAAUUUCACCUCUGACAAUUAAAUAUUAAUGCCCCCAACUAUCCCUAUUAAUCAUUACCCUGAUAUAACCUCGCUGUAAACAAAACCAACUGAAAAUAGGAGGUCAGGGUCCUAUUCCAUUAUCCCAUGCUAAUGUAUUCGGUGGCAGGAAAAAUAUCUGCCCGCUUUGAACACUCUAAUUUUUUCACGGUAAACGAUCUGGGCCAGACUGGGCCUUCACGGUAAACGAUCUGGGCCACUGGGCCUUCCCGGACAACGAUUUGGGCAAAU